UCAAUACAAGGGCCUGACACUCUUUGAUAGAGAAAGAUAGUCUUAUUGCGAUUCCUAUAAGAGGAAAGAGAAAAUAGUGCAAUGCUUUGUCUUUAUCACCGACCGGGUUUUUUUUCAUGGUCGGGUUAUGGCAGCUUAGGAAGGAGGCUGAUGGCGAUAUACAGAAAUUUAUAAGAGUGAAAGAGACAAAAUACCGCAAGAUGCCAUACAUUAAACUGUCAAUCAUAUUGUCAAGAGUGCUAGUAAACAAUGUGGUUUUCUUAUUGUAGAAGUUUUAUAAAGUGAAUGAUUGUGUUUAUUAAGUAUUUAAUGGAGGUGUAAGAAGUUUUUACGUACAAUUAACAUGGUGGGGUGUUCAGUGGUUGCCUACAAAAGCAAUAGCUUGCGAAAAUAAGCGGGUGUAACAUUUCAUGCCUUUCCGACGGAGGAUGAAAUUGUUAAAGAAUGGAUUGCGGGAACUGGAAAAUCAAAUUGGAUGCCUCACAAAUACUCGCGUAUUUGUUCCAAACAUUUUGAACAACAUUGUGUCCGCAAACUGGGCAAACGAACUUUCAUCGAAAAGUUUUCUUUUCCAACCUUGUUCAUACACGAGAGGAGAGAGAACAUUCUUUUCUUCAUCAUGUCAUGGAAAUCUUCCAUUCGUGCACGUCGUCGUCGUGGCAGUCUCAACAGCAUUCUGAAGCUAUUUUUGAACUUCAUAUAAUUGAUCCACAUGUUACAAGUGUAUGUGUAAAUAAAGUUUUCUUGACCCCCACAGUAUGUACAACGCGCAACACGUAAGAUUUUUUAUUUAAACAUAAAUAUUCGGUUUUAAGUAACAGUUUUAAUGUAAAUGACCAUGUUAGCUUAAAAUCAUAUACUGCGUAUCUACUGAGGUGUCGCUCAAGCACACCGUCAAGAACCUUCGCUGCAAUAGGGUUGUUUCCAUUUUGAAAUGCUUGUAUUAUAUAAUAUAUAUAUAUAUAUAUAUAUAUAUAUAUAUUUACCAAAUUAUGGCCUAAAAUUCAAUUUAUUUGUGUUGUUCUCAAGUAAAAGGUACCACAUUGUCGCUUAUCAUAAGAACGCUCUUACAGGUUGUACGUAUAAAGAGCAAGCAAAUUGUAUCCUUAUGGUAAGCGACUAUGUGGUACCUUUUACUUGAGAA